GUUGUCACGUCGUCACGUAUACAAAACUAUUUCGUUCUCACGGCUCAUCAUCAUGCGACCGGCUGUCCUGGUAAGUCGCUAUAGGAUAUGUAAGCUUGACAUCUGCAGUUUCAGAAGUGUCAACAUCAGACUGAUUGGCGUACCUUGAUGUGAAACAGCUGUUCUGGUUCAGCAGGAGUGGAAAAUGCUGCAUCUCUUCAGGAACAGAACUGUAAAACUGGGUACAUGUGUUUCUGAGGAAGGCACAUUUUUAGAAACCAGGGAAAAGUGUUGAUUCAGAUUGUGACUGAUAAAAGUACACUCUGUCCAGAAAAAAAACAACAGGUUUAUUAUAUUUGAAUGUCCCUUCAUCCUUUGUUAUGAAUGUAAUUUAACAUGUAGCACUUUUGCCAAAGUUGUUGUUUUUCACCAACAUAAAAUCAUGCACUUAACAAGGAGUUGCCUUGUUCAUUGUGCCUUAGACAUUUGGAUUUGUGCUAAAGUUUGUCUUUAUAAUAACACAAUAUGCUUGCUUACAGUUGGGUUUUGAAUCGCUCUGGAUGUGAUUUAGUUUUGAAAUUCAGAAGGAACUUAUAUUGAAAAUGAUAACUCCUUUUACCAAUUCAUGAUAAAAAGGUGUUAUACUCGGCCUGGAAGGGGAUAUUUGAUCUGAGUCUGUUGCAUAUGAUGAUUGAUGGGUGGGUCAUCGGAGACAGCAUGUCUGGUUAUUGGGGGGUCUGACCAGGCAUCCAGGGGGCACAGGAAUGCCAUCACAUCAUCAUCGUCAUAAAUCUAUUUUAUAGCCAAUCUUGGUAUGUGGGGCCUCUGGUCGCUUAAGCAUGCUUGACGCAAGCACAUCGUCACUUGGUCACAGCCAGUCACCAAGACAGUACACAGAGGAAGUUUCCUUGCAAAAUGUUUCCCACCACCACC